CACUUCCUGUCCCUGUUUUCUGUUUCCUGUCCCAAUAUGUGAGGACUCUGUUUCUACUUGCUCUCUUGUGGUUAUAGUUUGUCCAGUUGUGGUGUUUUUAUUCCUGUAGUGACGUCAUGUCAUCAACGUUUCAUUUCCAGUGCGUCUGUGCACAGUUUGUAACAUUUUCCAGUUGAAAGAGGCCACAGACGGACGUCCGUGUCUCCAACAAAGCUGAGCAGUUCAUGCCUCUGCUUCCAUUAACCUCCACCAUGACAAGAGGAAAACAAACGCAUCCUCGUCUCUCCCGCCUGCGCCCAGUGGCGCGUGUGCUGCCGAGGUGGGACUGGAUCACGGGCGACACAGAUUAGGAGUCAACAGGGUUCCCUUCAUCUGGCUGGAUGCAGCUGGAGGCCGAUUAGACGAAGCACGCGUGGGUGAGGACGGCGCCGCCUGAUGCUAUCGCGCGCCUCCGACCCACUUCCUCGCUGAGAACUCCGCAGACGACCGUGAAAUUGAUCACGCUCCCUGAGAAGAUGUCGCGUUAUGUGUGGCACACGUGUCGAAGGAGGCAAAGGAGGAGAAGAGCUAGAAGAAGACGCCCGCGGGACACGCGGGACCUUUGACUCCACGUCUUUUAUCAGACGCUGGCAGCGGUCUGUUAAUUGGAGCUCCAGGUUAGUCGGUCACUUUGACGUAUUCUGUGUUUUGGUGUUUGGUUCUGAAUGAUUAAGCCACAAAAAACCCAAGUAAAUAGGAGCUUUAUUGACCUCACUGCUAACAGCUGUCAUGAUCAGGUGACUGGUUGCCCACAAACAAAUAACAACAUGUAUUAUUAAUGUGGCCACAAAAACCAUUGGUUUAGUUUAGAGAAAGAUUAUGUUCAUGUUUAUGGGUUCAGGGUAAUAGAACACGGGCAUUAAGAAGUAAUGUCACCUAUAAAAGCCAUAACUAUAUAAUAUAAGGUAACAAAGAGUGGUGUGGCCGACGCAUGAAUAUGACCACUUACUGUAGCUGUGGAGCAGCUGACGGCCAUAACGCAGCAGUCAAUGAUCACAACGUCAAAGUGUGGCCAUUUUCUGCGCCCACAUGCAGCGUUCUGUGCUCUUUACCUUCAAAACACGCCGAGCUCGCGCAUCCACCGGCGCUAAAUGCAAAAGGAAAGGCUGAUUGUAUAAUUAACUGAAGCUAAGUGGCAUUAGUUUCUUUAUUAUUGUAUUCAUGGACAAACAU